rnacentral:tRNA from 1 species
AGCCUCGUAGUUCAGUUGGCUGCACUAAAGCCUUCAACUUGCUGGCGUGGGCUCGAAUCCCACCGAGGCCA